rnacentral:rRNA from 1 species
GGGCCCGCACAAGCGGUGGAGCAUGUGGUUUAAUUCGAUGAUACGCGAGGAACCUUACCAGGGCUUAAAUGGGAAAUGACAGGGGCAGAGACGCCCCUUCUUCGGACAUUUUUCAAGGUGCUGCAUGGUUGUCGUCAGCUCGUGCCGUGAGGUGUCAGGUUAAGUCCUAUAACGAGCGCAACCCCUACCGUUAGUUGCCAGCGUGUAAUGACGGGGACUCUAGCGAGACUGCCGGUGCAAACCGAGAGGAAGGUGGGGAUACGUCAAAUCAUCACGGCCCUUACGUCCUGGCUACACACGUGCUACAAUGGCCGGUACAGAGAGCAGCCACCACGCGAGUGG